rnacentral:rRNA from 1 species
AUUCCAGCUCCAAUAGCGUAUAUUAAAGUUGUUGCAGUUAAAACGCUCGUAGUCGGAUUUCGGGGCGGGCCGACCGGUCUGCCGAUGGGUAUGCACUGGCCGGCGCGUCCUUCCACCCGGAGACCGCGCCUACUCUUAACUGAGCGGGCGCGGGAGACGGGUCUUUUACUUUGAAAAAAUCAGAGUGUUUCAAGCAGGCAGUCGCUCUUGCAUGGAUUAGCAUGGGAUAAUGAAAUAGGACUCUGGUGCUAUUUUGUUGGUUUCGAACACCGGAGUAAUGAUUAAUAGGGAUAGUUGGGGGCAUUCGUAUUUAACAGUCAGGAGUGAAAUUCUUGGAUUUGUUAAAGACGGACUACUGCGAAAGCAUUUGCCAAGGAUGUUUUCAUCA